AGGGUUUAAGGAGGUGUAUGGAGGGGUAGAGGUGUGUCCACGCACGCGGUGCCAUUCUGUUUAUUUGAUAAGAGGAAAUCAAUGGAACAGAUUGUAAAGCCUUUACCAGGGCCAGACGCGCGUGCAGCCUGCACGGUGUCCCCGGGUUUAAAAGGGGGGCUUGGUGAAAAGUGACUUCCAGAACAGCGGCGCGGGAACGGGUCGAUCUGGACAAUGGCCUCCAUGGUGUGUAAGGGCUAUUUGAUCAAGAAGGAGAGUGAUGGAAUGCUGCAUCAGAUGACCUGGCCUCCACAAUCACCUGACCUCAACACAAUUGAGAUGCUUUGCGAUGAGUUGGACCUCAGAGUGAAGGAAAAGCAGCAAACAAGUGCUCAGCAUAUGUGGGAACUCCAAAAAGCAUCCCGUGUGAAGCCAAGAGUGUGCAAAGCUGUCAUCAAGGCAAAGGGUGGUUACAACAAAGAAUCUCAAAUCUAAAAUCAAAUAUAUUUGUUUAUCACUUUUCUGGUUACUACAUGAAUCCAUGUGUUAGUUCAUAGUUUUGAUGUCCUUACUAUUAUUCUACAAUGUAAAAAAUAGUAACAAAUAAAGAACAGCCCUUGAUUGAG